rnacentral:rRNA from 1 species
UACGAAGGUGGCAAGCGUUGUUCGGAUUUACUGGGCGUAAAGAGUGCGUAGGCGGUUUGACAAGUCAGGAGUGAAAGCCCGGGGCUCAACCCCGGAAUUGCUUUUGAAACUGUCUUACUUGAAGCCGGUAGAGGUUGGCGGAAUUCCCAGUGUAGAGGUGAAAUUCGCAGAUAUUGGGAGGAACACCAGUGGCGUAAGCGGCCAACUGGACCGGUUUUGACGCUGAGGUACGAAAGCGUGGGUAGCAAAC